GGGUCUCCAUGAGUUCUAUUUCAUCUGUAAGCAAUGGGGGUGAUGCUGAGUGUAGUACCUAUUUUCCACGAUCUCGGACUUCUGCUGUGAUAGGUACUUCUACUGGGUUUUCCACUUUGUCUGGACUGCCAACUGUUCUCUUCUUGCUGCAUGCGACUAUUUGCAAAUUUAAGGCUAGCUCUUGCUCGUUUAAGUUCAUACCUCUCAGUGGAUUUGAUUGAGCAGGGUCCAUAUAACCCUUUUUUGUUCAUUGCCCAAGGUGAGUUUGCAUAAGGGAUCUCAAUAUAGUCAGUUGCAUAGUGGCCAAUCCGGCCACACGAGAAACAGAAAUGUGGAAGUCGCUCAUACUUGAACUCCACCCAAAGCCACCUAUUGCCAAUGUCCAUAACAGCUCCCGAUUUCAAAGGGGGAACUCCUCCUAUACGCACCGAGAAUUCUUCCUUAGUGAAAUCAUAGCAAUGUUCAGGAACUUCAGGGAGACACUGUUUCAGAACAAUCAGAUUCGUGGAGUAAGACCAAGUGACGAAGGCUGGGAAGUUCACGUUUGGUUUGGAAUACAAUUUUCCAAAUAGAGUUCGACUACAUUCCUCUCUUUUCUGUUGAGCGUCUCAGAUCUAGACUAUCCGCAUCUCCAGAUCUACCCAGAUUCAACUUUUCCACCCCGACAACUCAUCAGCCAAAAAAACGAAAGCAAGUUGAAGAAAAGAACAACCCAAUACCAGGUGAUACCGAUUUACUACUAAGAUACUAUACCUGGAAAAUCGCGCAUCUCUUCAUCUAGAGGAAAAACUUUCGAGCACCCUUCAUGACUGGUGAAAAUCCCGGUGCCUCCAGAUCGUUGAAGAAAAGCUUUCGGUGAAGAUUUCAUCCGAUGGAGACCAUAUGCCCUCCAGAGAACGCAUAACAUA